ACUGAUAUAUGUAUAUGCAUGUACAUUUUUAUACAUGUCUAUACAUUUAUAUACCUAAAUUUAACACACAUAUGUCAUGUAUAUACAUGUUUAAUAUGUACAAAUAAAAACUGAUGAAUUUGCCUUGUUUUAGAAUAAUUUUUUAGAACUCAAUUUGUGCUCUUGUUUGUGGAAUAGUUUUAACGAAGUGUUCUUUGUCUUGGUUGUAUUGAAGGUGGCAUCAUACACAGUAACAACUUUAUAGAAUAACAUUGAAGUUAAUCUGCUUUUGGGGGGUGGUCAGAAUUUUAUAUUUAUUAUAUACUGGUUGUCUAUACAAUUUUGAUAAUAAGGUUGGUCCCUCAAAAUUUUUCUUUGAAAGAAUAUAUGUAGUCAUGUUUCCGAUUAGCAGAUACCCGAAGCUAUUGCUGUUAUACUUCUUUAACUUCUCUGGAGGAAAAUACCACUGCAUGUAUGGUGCCCUUAAUGACCUUUCAUUAGCCCCCAGAAUUAGCUGUCUGAAUUUGUGUGUCUGACAUUGGAUAAAAUAUUUGCAUUUUUUUUCUGGGAUAAGCUUGGAAACACGGCAAUGAACGUGAAUUUCAUAGCCUUUAGAACCAAAUUACAGCUGUCUAUAGCUUUUAUAUUUCUUUAGUU